GUCCGAUAAUAGAAUACAUCAUUAACAUGUGCAUUUCGUCACAGCGCAGCGAGAAACGCGAAGUAUCUUCGAUUGCGCGACGUUCACCGAUCGCGCUACUUUCUAACUCACGGUAAUAUCCGACUACGAUGAUCGUAGCUCGGUAAUCAGGAAUGACGGUGCAGUUUAGAAAAAAUGGAGCAGCGAAUUAUCCGCGAUAAUUCGCUUCGCGCCGGCUUUACUUCUCAAUUACGGUCGCGUUUCUGAAUUUGUUUUAUGAACGUUCAGCGUAUCUUACGACACUCAUUGAUACUUUUAUUUGAUAUAUUGGCGUCUAACGGAUUUAUUCACGUCGGCCAGAUUGCCACGGGUCGAGCGCACCGCGCGAGAUCUGUUCGUCAAGCAUGAGGACGUAGCCGUGUCAGGGACAACGGAACAUUUACUUGUCGAAGCUGAACUGGAGGAGCUCAGUCUUACGCCUUUACUUGGGUGGAGUUCUUCUGUAGUGUCGCUACGCGCACAUACGUUCAUCAGGGUAGAGAAGCCUCGCGGUAACGGCUCUACGAGGACUAAAUCUUACAUUAUGAGAGAAUCGCUGUAUUACAAGAGGAUUUUAUGAAGGAGGAGCGGAAUUAAGGUGUAAUGAGCCCGCGCAAUUAUAUCUGUCACGCAGACAUAUACUUGCUCCCCUCGGGUUAAGUUAAUGAGGAGUAACAACAGACGAGUUUCGUAACGAGAGAUUCAUGGAGAUAAUACUAGCUUCACUAAGAGUCGGAUAAUUUCUAUGAGAGUACUGAUAGAGCCAGCGGAAAUAAAGAUUUUUUUCCAUGCACGAUGGCUGCUUCAAUACUUUCAUCGGGAGGAAGCAUCCUCGAUGCGCCGUAGGCUAAAUCAAUUUCACGGAAGACGUUAUAUUAUCGCGUACCGUUCAGCUUCCGAUGCGACCUCCGAUCAUCUCUGAUAUAUCACGUUGAAAGCCACUGUGAGCAGCGGCUCACGCGACCGUUUAAAGCGCUUAUGCAAUUCCCACGCAUGAACUAUCACCAAACGAUGCAAAGACCAUCGGACAGCUGCACCCGUAGAAAGGGAAAUCGUCGCUUGGGUAUAGAACUAAAUUUAUCUGAAGUCGGAAGCGCGCGAUCGAACAUGCUUCGCAGCGGUGUUUACACACACCUACACCCACACAAACGUGAAACACGCACACUGCCGUGAAAUCGUGCAGAAUCGCUAACACGUAUGCACCACAUGUGCGCACACGUACGCACGUACGCCUCGAUUCAGCAAACAGAGCCUUUCUUCGUUACGUGCGCGAUAACGCGAGAGUAGAUAGGUUUCCGCUUGAUAAUUCGGCCGCUGGUCAUUUACCGCUGUGCAAACGUCGCGUCGGAUCAAUGCUCGAUUAACAGGCGAAAGUGUUUUUGCGUGUUUUUUUAAAUCUUUUUUUUUUAUUGAGAAAUUUUAAAAUCUAUCACUACACAAUAUGCGUAAGCUUUUUGAUUUGUAAUAAUUUUUGCUACUUAAUGUGUUUAAAAACAGGUUAUUAUUAUUAAUGCGCAUAUUAUACAGACAUAUAUAGACAUUAUGACACUUAUAAACUUGCGAUUUAUUCAUGACAUUAUCUUCAUAUAAAAGCUUCCUCGAAGAUUAUGAAUUGUGACAGUCUCUCACACACUCGCUGUUUUCUAAUAAAAGUUUUUUCCAUCUCACAAAAAAUUGCUACACACAAUUGCAGAUAUUAUAAUCUUCUGAACAAUAAUACGCUAUUCUUAAACGUGGCAAAAUUCUUUCACAAUACUUAUAAAUAUUCGCGAUAUUUAGUGGCAAAACCUUGAACUUUAUUUCGCAUAGAAAAUUUA